rnacentral:lncRNA from 1 species
AUUUUAUUUAUUUAUUUAUUUUUUUCCUUUUUCUCCCCAAAACCCCCCGGUACAUAGUUGUGUAUUCUUCAUUGUGGGUUCUUCUAGUUGUGGCAUGUGGGACACUGCCUCAGCGUGGUCUGAUGAGCAGUGCCAUGUCCGCGCCCAGGAUUCGAACUAACGAAACACUGGGCCGCCUGCAGCAGAGCGCGCGAACUUAACCACUCAGCCACGGGGCCAGCCCCCUGUAGUGAGAACUUUUAAGAUCUACUCUUUUAGCAACUUUCAAGUAUACAAUACAGUAUUGUUAACUGUAGUUAGUAGUUAACUGUAGUAACAUGCUGUACAUUAGAUCCCGAGAACUUAUUAGUCACACAAAUGGAAGUUUGUACCCUUUGACCACCUUCACCCAUUUCCCUCCUCACCUCCCCACUGGUGCCUGGAAACCACCCAUCUCUUCUCUGCUUCUAUGAGUUUGGUUGUUUUAGAUUCCCAUAUAAGUGAGAUCAUGUAUAUUUGUCUUUCUCUGUCUAACUUAUUUCAUUUAGCAUAACACAAAGUUCAUCCAUGUUGUUGCAAAUAACAUGGUUUCCUUUUUAUGGCUGAAUAAUAUUCCAUUUUGUGUAUAGAUGCCACAAAUUCUUUGUCUAUUUAUCCAUGGAUGGACACUUAAGUUGUUUCUGUGUCUUGGCUAUUAUAAAGAAUGCUGCAGUGAACAUAGUGGUGUGGAUAUCUUUUAGAGAAUGAUUUCACUUCCUUCAGAUAUAUACCCAGAAGUGGAAUUGCUGGAUCAUAUAGUAGUUCUAUUUUUAAUUUUUUGAGGAAACUCCAUACUAUUUUCCAUAGUGACAGUACCAGUUUUCACUCCCACCAACAGUGUACAAAGGUUCCCAUUUUUCCACAUACUCUCUAGCACUUGUUAUCUCUUCUCUUUUUGAUAAUAGCCAUCCUAACAGAUGUUAAGUGAUAGCUCAUUGUGGUUUUGUGUUUUUUUUUUUGAGGAAGAUUAGCCCUGAGCUAACAUCUGCUGCCAAUCCUCCUCUUUUUGCUGAGGAAGACUGGCCCUGAGCUAACGUCCGUGCCAUCUUCCUCUACUUUAUAUGUGGGACACCUCCUACAGCAUGGCUUGUGAAGCCAUGCCACUUCCGCACCUGGGAUCCGAACCGGCAAACCCCGGGCCACCGAAGCGGAAUGUGCACACUUAACGGCUGCACCACCAGGCUGGCCCCUCAUUGUGGUUUUGAUUUACAUUUCUCUGGUGAUUAGGGAUGUUGAGCACCUUUUCAUGUAUCUAUUGACCAUGUGUGUAUCUUCUUUGGAAAAGUACCUGUUGAGUUCCUUUGCCCAUUUUUUAAUCGGAUUAUUUGGUUUUUUGCUAUUGAGAUGUAUGAGUUCCUUAUAUAUUUCAGUUAUUAACCCCUUAUCAGAUAGAUGGUUUGCAAGUAUUGUCUUCUAUUCCAUAGGUUGCCUUUUCUUUUUUUUUGAUCGUUUCUUUUGCUGUGCAGAAGCUUUUUAGUUUGAUGUAGUCCCACUUCUUUAUUUUUGCUUUUCUUGCUUAGCUUUUGGUAUCAUAUUUUAAAAAAUCAUUGCCAAGAUCAAUAUCAAAGAGUCUUUUCCCUGUGUUUUCUUCUGGGGGUUUUUUGGUUUCAGGUCUUACAUUUGAGCUUUAAUUCAUUCAAGUUAAUUUUUGUGAGUGAUGUAAGAUAAGUGUCCAGUUGCAUUCUUUUGCAUGUGGUUAUUCAGUUUUCCCAGCGCUAUUUAUUGAAGAGACUGUCUUUUCCCUGAUGAGUGUUCUUAGCUACCUCAUCAAGUACAAGGUGCCCAUAAAUGAGUUGAUUUAUUUCUGGGCUCUCAAUUGUGUUCCAUUGGUCUAUGUGUCUGUUUUUAUGCCAAUAGCAUACUGUUUUGAUUAUUAUAGCUUUGUAAUAUAGUUUGAAAUCAGGAAGUGUAAUGCCUCCAGCUUUGUUCUUCUCUCUGCAGAUUGCUUUGGCUAUUCAGGGUCUUUUGUGGUUCCAUACAAAUUUUAGGAUUGUUUUUCCUCUUUCUGUAAAAAAAACUGCCAUUAGAAUUUUGAUAGAGAUUAUAUUGAAUCUAUAGAUGGCUUUGGGCAGUAUGGACACUUUAACAGUAUCAAUUGUUCUGGUCCAUGAACAUAGGAUAUCUUUCCAUUUAUUUUUAUCUUCUUUAAUUCUUUUCAUCCAUGCCUUAUAGCUUUCAGUGUACAGAUCUUUCACCUAGGUUUAAAUUUAUUAAGUAUUUUAUUAUUUUUGAUGCUAUUGUAAAUGGGAUUGUUUUCUUUAUUUGUUUUUCAGGUAGUUCAUUGUUAGUGUAUAGUCUAGCUAAAGACUUGUCAAUUUUGUUUAUCUUUUCAAAGAACCAACUCUUAGUUUUGUUAAUCUUUUCUAUUGUUUUCCUAUUCUCUAUUUCAUUUAUUUCUGCUCUGAUUUUUGUCAUCUCCUUCCUUUUGCUGAUUUUGGGCUUAGUUUGUUCUUCUUUUUCUAGUUCCUUGAGGUUUAAUGUUAGGUUGUUUAUUUGAGAUCUUUCUUUUUCUUUCUUUGAGGAAGAUUAGCCCUGAGCUAACUACUGCCAAUCCUCCUCUUUUUGCUGAGGAAGACUAGCCCUGAGCUAACAUCCAUGCCCAUCUUCCUCUACUUUAUAUGUGGGACGCCUACCACAACAUGGCUUUUGCCAAGUGGUGCCAUGUCCGCACCCGGGAUCUGAACCAGUGAACCCUGGGCCACUGAGAAGUGGAACGUGUGAACUUAACUGCUGUGCCACCACGCCGGCCCCCAGAGAUCUUUCUUAAUGUAGGCAUUUAUAGCUAUAAACUUCCCUCUUAGAACUGCUUUUGUUGCAUCCUAUAAGGUUUGGUUUGUUGUGUUUCCAUUUUUGUUUGUCUCAAGAUAUUUUUUGGUUUCUUCUUUGAUCCCUUAGUUGUUCAAGAAUGUGUUAAUUUCCACAUAUUUCUGAAUUUUCCAGCUUUUCCUCCUGUUAUUGAUUUCUAGUUUCAUAUCAUUGUGGUCAGAAAAGAUAGUUGACAUAAUUUUUAUCUUCUUGAAUUUUUUGGGACUUGUUUUGUGGCCUAAGACAUGAUCUAUCCUAGGAAAUGUGCCAUGUGCACUUGGGAAGAAUGUGUGUUCUGCUGCUGUUGGAUGCAAUGUUCUGUAUAUGUUUGUUAAGUCCAUUUGGUUUAUAGUGUUGUUUAAAUCUACUGUUUCCUUAUUUAUUCUCUGUCUGGAUGAUCUAUCCAUCGUUGAGAGUUAGGUAUUAAAGUCCCCAACUAUUACUGUGUUGCUGUUUAUUUCUCAUUUUAGUUUAGUUAGUAUUUGCUUCUGUGUUUAGGUGGUCUGAUGCUGGGUGCAUAAAUAUUUACAAUUGUUGUAUCUUCUUGAUGAAUUGACCCCUUUAUCAUUAUAUAAUGAUCACCUUUGUUUCUUUUGACCAUUUUUAGCUUAAAGUCUAUUGUAGCUAAAGUCUAUCCUUGCCUUCCUUUGGUUACCAUUUGCUCAGAAUAUCUUUUUCCAUCUCUUCACACUCAGCCUCUGUGCAUCCUUAAAGCUAAAGUGAAUCUCUUGUAGGCAGUCUAUUGUUGGAUCUAGUUUUUUAAAUCCAUCCAUCCAUUCUGUGUCUUUUGAUUGGAGAAUUUAAUCCAUUUAUGUUUAAAGUAAUUAUUGAAAAGUAAGGAUUUACUAUUUGCUUUUUGUUAAUUGUUUUCUGACUAUUUUGUAGAUCCUUUGUUCCUUGCUCCCUGUCUUGCUGUCUUCCUUUUUGAUUUGAUGAGUUUUUGUGGAAGUAUGCUUUGACACCUUUAUCAUAAUCUUUUGUGUAUCUACUACAGGUUUUUCCUUUGUGGUUAUCAUGAGGCUUAUGUAAAAUAUCAUAUAGUUGUAUCUUCCUAUUCUAAGCUGAUAACAAUUAUUUAUAGAAUGUCUAUUUUGUGCCUGUGUUUAUAUUCCUCACUGGGGAAUACAAAGUUUAAUAAAAGAAAGCUCCUACCCAUGAAAUCAGAUAGCCUUCUGGGUUAGACACAUGUUACCUGGGCUGGGGAGUGCAGGGUAGGAAAGUCUUCUUGAAAGAUUAGUAGGAAUCAGCCAUGUUACAAAGAGCGGGAAGUUUGUUGGCCAGAAGGAAUGCAUAUACAAAGGAAACAAGAAACAAACAGACAACAUGUUUUGGUAUUUCUGGAAGAAGGGGUUAAUUUUGAAGUUGGCUGUGUUUUUAGACUGGAGAAAGGGAAAGGGACCAGGUCUGGGAGGGUUUAGUUUGUCUUACUAAGAAGCUUGGACUUUAUCUUAUAGCCAAUAGAAAGUCAUUGAUAAGCGGUAGCAUAAACAUCAGCUUUAUGUAUUAAUGGUGACUUCUAGCAACAACAGUAUGGAAUAGGGAUUGCUUCCCUGGAGGUAGAGAGAAGAGUUAGAAGCUAUUGCAUUGUUCUAGGUGACAGAUGGUAAACACUUUGAAACAGGGCAGUAGUAUUAGGGAUAGAGGAACAUAACAAGUUCAAGAAGUAUUUAGGAGGUAGAAGUGUCAGAACUUGGUGACAAUAGGAUGUUUCGGCUGAGGAAGAGAGAACAGUAUAGAAUGAAUUCCCAGUGUCUGGCUUGUGUGACUGAUUGAAUGGUAGAUUAACUGACAUAGGGAAUGCAGGAAGGGGAGCAAAUCUGAUGCCAAAAGAAGAUGAAUUAAGUUUCAGUCCUGUUGAUCUGACACAUAAUUGGAGUUUGAUAGGUGGGUCUAACACUUUGUCGAAGGACUGGGUGUGAGGAUUUACAUAUGUGACGAGGAUUCAAUGUCAUGGCUUAUAUGACUAGCAUGGGAGAUGCUGUGUAGAUUUAUUCAUUCACUGAUUCCUGUUCCAGGGUAUUUCCUGCCAUUAACACUAUCAGGGAUCUGUUGCAAGUGAUAGAAAUCCAGUUUGAAGAAUUUUAGGCAAUUGAGUAUUGGUUCACAACAAGUGGGAAAGAGAGAAUGCAACUUGUGGCAACCUCAGAGAGAGAGGUCAACGAUAUUUUGGAACCUGGAAAGUACAUACACAAGAGUUAACUAACUUUGGGGCUGGCCCCGUGGCCGAGUGGUUAAGUUCGUGCGCUCCCCUUUGGCGGCCCAGGGUUCAGAUCCUGGGUGCAGACAUGGCACCAUUCAUUAGGCCAUGUUGAGGUGGCAUCCCACAUGCCACAACUAGAAGGACCCACAACUAAAAUAUACAACUAUGUACUGGGGGGAUUUGGGGAGAAGAAAAAAAAACUUCCUGUCUUACAAAAAAAAGAGUAACUUAGCAGACCACAGAAAGCUGAAUUCUGUCGACAUUCACCAGUCAGAGAUCACCAGGAACACAGGUGGAGUUAACCAAAGUUAUGUUUAUUUAGUUUCUGCAGCAAAGGAGAACGCCCAGGGGAAUCUUGGAAGCAUCUCACUAAGGGAGAAUUGGGAAGGAAUUCUUAUAGGAGCUGGGAUUGUGCUGCAUAAUUCUAGGGAGGGAUUAGGGAGGUGGGGUGCCAUCUCUGGAUGGAAUAUGCUUGAGAAAUGGGGCAUUUUCAGCAAUUGGCUAUCUCAGAAAUCUUUUUUCAGGAGACUAAAGAAAUAAGCAGACUGAGAUGUCAUUGGUAACAAAGCAGCAAUCACUUAGAAGAAAAGAUUGUUAGUCAUUUUUGCAGCUGUGGUAUGGCCUUGUAUAGAAAUACUGUUUAUGUGAUCUUGUCCGUGUCCCUUGGAAACAUUGUUUAUGUUCUCUUAGGAAUAUCACAGUCUGAUUACCAGCACGGCUGAUUUUCAUUUUCUCAAAUCUAACUGCCAGCAAGAGGGUAACUCCAAGAAGCAGGCCAAUUUUCACAGCAGUAUCCUGGAAAGGCUCAAAUUAGACGCAACGGGCAUGGGUAUGAGUGGAACUGAAAACCUGAGAAAGUAUAUGAAAAUGAAAGUCUGCAUAAGAAAGCAGUUAGGCCUUGUUAUGGACUAAAUGUUCGUGUCCUUGCAAAAUUUGUAUGUAGAAAUCCUAGCCCCCAAUGUGAUGUUAUUAGGAGGUGGGGCCUUUGGGAGGUGAUUAGGUCGUGAGGGUGAAGCCCUCAUAUUUGGCAUUUGUGCUCUUAUAAAAGAGACACCAGAGAGCUCUUUUGUCCCUUCUACCACGUGUGAAACCAGAAAGUAGACUCUCACCAGACACCUGCAUCUUUUUUUUUAAUUUGAUUUUUUCUUCUUUAUUUUUUGAGAAAGAUUAGCCCUGAGCUAAUAUCUGCUGCCAAUCCUCCUCCUUUUGCUGAGGAAGACUGGCCCUGAGCUAACAUCCGUGCCCAUCUUCCUCUACUUUAUAUGUGGGGCACCUACCACGGCAUGGCUUGACAAGCAGUGCAUAGGUCUGCCCCUGGGAUCGGGGCUGGCGAACCCCGGGCUGCUGAAGCAGAACGUGCGAACUUAACCGCUGCGCCACUGGGCUGGCCCCUCUGCUGGCAUCUUGAUCUUAGACUUCCCAGCCUCCAGAACUGUGAGAAAUAAAUGUUUGUUGUUGAAAGUGCUCCGUCUGUGGUAUUGCUGUUAGGGUAGCCUGAACGGACUAAGACAAACCUCUAGAGCUUUCUCUCUGUUCUACAUAGCCAGGCUCCAACUCACGACCCCUGCAGAAGGUUGAAAGUUUCCUCUCUAGAGAGGUUGAAUCAGAGAGACUGGAUCUGGGAAUAUGCGAAAUAGCAAAGGGAAGGGAGGUCCUACUGAGAAUGGGAACUGAGCGAAAGUUUGCUUAGACGCCAGCCUUCUUCUCUGACUCAGCUGUCAGAAGACUGAUUUUUCAGCCUUAGAAAUGGAAGGAUUCUUCUUUUGGGAAACCAGUUAAUCUUACGGAUAUUGGCAGGAGGGAAGGUGGGCCCCAAGGGAAACAGCUGGGUCCCAACCUGAUCACUCUACAGUGAAGCCCAUGCUUAGCUUCAAACUAGCUUUCUUGUGCCUUACUCUUUUUUUUUUUUUUUAGGAAGAUUAACCCUGAGCUAACUACUGCCAAUCCUCCUCUUUUUGCUGAGGAAGACUGGCCCUGAGCUAACAUCCAUGCCCAUCUUCCUCUACUUUAUACGUGGGAUGCCUACCACAGUACGGUGUGCCAAGUGGUGCCAUGUCCGCACCCGGGAUCCAAACCGGCAAACCCCGGGCCACCAAGAAGCAGAACUUGUGCACUUAACUGCUACGCCACCAGGCUGGCCCCAACAUGGCUUACUGUUAAAUCUGGACAGCACUGAAGGACCAUGAGAUAUUUGAGAAAAGCAUUUAACAUGUAAGGGAAAUAAAACAAACAUUAAAAAAUUUAGAAGAUAAGAGACAAUCCAAGGAGCAGAAGAUGAUAUUGAAUCCAAGAAAUAAGAAAAGGAUGCUCCAAAAGUGAAUAUUCAGCAGUCAAUGAAUAGUUUUUGGAAAUUAAAAAUGCAUAAGCUAAACUAAAAAAUUAAUAGAAGCUUUGUAAAUUAAAGUUGAAGACAUCUUCAAAGUAGAAAAAAAAAGAGAGAAAUAUAAGGAAAUAGGACCAUUUGAGCAGGUCCCAUGUUCAAAUAAAGGCGUUCUAAAAAGACAGAACAUAGAAAAGAGAGGAGGAACUAAUCAAGGAAAAAAGUACAAGAAAACUUCUCAGAAUGGAAAUGCCUGAGUCUCCAGAUUGAAAGCAUCCACUGAGUGUCCAGCAAAACGAAUGAAAAAAAAUCCCACACAAAGACAAAGCGUUGCGAGAUUUUAGAAUGUCAGGGUGAAAGAGAAGAUUCUAAAACUCUAGGGGUAGGGAGGGGAACAGAUCACAUAUGAUGGAAAGGAAAGCUGGACCACAAUAAAGCAAUGGCUUCAACAUUCCAAGGAAAAAUGAAAUCCAGUCUAGAAUUCUAUAGCUACUAUUACUAUCAAUGAGACGUGAGCAUAGCAUAAAGCUGUGAAGCCUAUUUUAAUGUCUUCUGGACCCUUCCUCCCAAUGUAGAUGGACUUGGUGAUUAUGGAAAUAUUUGUAAGUGAAGAUUUUAUUUGCUAGUAUUUGCAAAUCUAUUUCAUUUUUCAGAACGACUUGGAGCCUCAUAAUGCUUCCACUAUUUACAGUUGCCACUACUAUUUUGGUGAGGAGAUAAAAAAGAGAACAAGUAGAUUAGUGACUAGUUUUCUUAUACAUGUUAACAAAAGCACCUACUCAUGUGGUACCACAUCUUUUCAAUCUUGUGGCAUUCCCUUCUUGACAGGGGUUGGUCUUUGCUAUUCACCUGAGAUCUUGUGAGAAGUGCAGAAGCUCAGGCCCCAGAAUCUGAGGAUCAUUGUGUCAGAGUCUGAGUUAGUCUGGAACCUGGACUUUUUUUUAAGCUUGCCAGGUGACUAGCUUGUUAACUAACAAUCUGAGCACAUCAUAAUUCUAUUUCAGCUUAUUUAAUACUUGUGACAGUUAACAAACUGAGUCAGUAUUUCUCAAAAAUUUGUGUGCAUACAAAUCACCUGGGGGUCUUAUUUUUUUAAACUUUUUAUUUUGAAAUAGUUAUAGAUUCACAGGAAGCUGCAAAGACAAUACAGAGAGCUCCUGUGUACCCUUCACCCAGUUUCUCCCAAUGGUUACAUUUUGUGUAACCUUAGUAUGGUAUCAAAACCAGGAAAUUGAGGAGCCACCCUGGGGGUGUAGCAGUUAAGUUUGUGCGCUCCACUUUGGUGGCCUGGAUUUGGAUUUUUUUUUUGCCAGUUUUGAUCCUGGGCUCGGACCUAUGCGCUGCUUGGCAAGCCAUGCUGUGGCAGGCAUCCCACAUAUAAAAUAGAGGAAGAUGGGCAUGGAUGUCAGCUCAGUGCCAGUCUUCCUCAGCAAAAAGAGGAGGAUUGGUGAUGGAUGUUAGCUCAGGGCUAAUCUUCCUUAAAAAAACCUCCCACAACCAGGAAAUUGACAUUGGCACAAUGCGUUUGUAUAGUCCUAUGCCGUUUUAUCACCUGCGGAGAUUCCUGUAACCAUAACUGCAAUCGAAAUACAGAACUAUUCCAUUACCACAAAGAUCUCCUUUAUGCCACCCCUUUGUAAUUACACAUACUCCGUUCCCCCACUUACCAUUUAACCUCUGACAACCACUAAUCUGUGUUCCAGCUCUAUACUUUUGUCAUUUUGAGAAUGUUAUAUAAAUGGAAUCAUACAGUAUGUGGCCUUUUGAGAUUGGCUUUUCUCACUCCACAUAAUGCCCUUGAGAUCUAGCCAAGUGGUUGCAUGGAUUAGUAGUUUGUUUUUAAAAACUUUUAUUUUGAAAUUAUUAUAGAUUCACAGGAUAUUGCAAAAACAGUACAGAGAAGCCCUGUGUACCUUUCACUCAGUUUUUCCCAAUGGUACCAUCUUAGAUAACUGUAGUACAGUAUCAAAAUCAGAAAACUGACACUGGUGCAAGUCACAGACCUUAUUCAGGUUUCAGCACUUUUGCGUGGACUCAUUUGUGUGUGUUUGUGUCUGUGUGUAGUUCUAUGCAAUUUUAACACGUGUAGAUUCAUGUGGCCAACACCACAAUGAAGAUUCAGAACUAUUCCAUCACCACAAAGAUCCCCAUGUUACCCCUUUACAGUCAUGUCCAUUCCCCUUCCCUCUUUCCUGCCAACCAUUAAUUUCUUCUCUAUCUCUAUAAUUUUGUCAUUUCAAGAAUGUCAUAUAAGUGAAAUUGUGCAUAUGUAACCUUUUGAGAUUGACUUUUUUUCGCUCAGCAUAAUCCCCUUCAGAUCCAUCCAAGUGGUUGCGUGUAUCAAUAGAUGGUUCCUUUCUAUUGCAGAGUUGUAUUUCGUGGUGUGGAGGUACCAUAGUUUGUUUAAUCAUUCAUUCAUUGUAGGAUGUUUUGCUUGUUUCCAGUUUGGGGCUAUUACAAAGAAAUCUACUAUGAACAAUCAUGUACAAAAAUUGUGUAAAAAGAAAAAAAAAGCCCAGGCUCCAGACUAAGUAAAUCAGGAUCUCAGGAGUGAAGCCCAGACAUCAACAUUUUUUUUAAAGUUUCCCAAAAAAUUCUCAUGUGUAUCAAGGAUUUCUAAAACCAAAGUAGGUUUUAGAAAUCUGCAAAAAUCAUUUAUUAGUAACAGUUAUACUUAUUAUGCACCUACAAGAUGCUAGGCAUUGUACUCAUUUAAAGCUCUUAAUAAGCCUUUGGGAUAUAUAUUACUAUUCUCCCUUCUCAUCUGAGAAGACCGAGGGGUGGACAAAAUGAGUGAAGGUGGUAAAAAGGUAUAAACUUCCUGUUAUGAAAUAAAUAAGUCCUGGGGAUGUAAUGUACAGCAUGGUGACUAUAGUUAGUAAUACUGUAUUGUAUAUUUGAAAGUUGCUAAGAGAGUAGAUCUUAAAAGUUUUCUUCAUAAGAAAAAAAUUUGUAACUAUGUGAGGUGAUGGAUGUUAACUAGACUUAUUGUGGUAACCAUUUCACAAUAUAUACAUGUAUCAAAUCAUUAUAUUGUACACCUGAAAUUAAUAUAAUGUUAUAUGUCGAUUAUGUCUAAAUAAAAAUAAUAAAACCAUCUUUUCCUUAGAGAUAUCUGUUAAGCAUCCCAUAUCUUAAAUUAAUUGUGGUUCAAGAGAAAAAAUUUUAUUAGAUGUUUUCUUUUCUUAUUUUAAAUCAACAAAGUGUUUUAGGAUAAUACUUCAAAGUAUCUUACAGAGGAAAAAAAUCCCACAACUCACGCAUUAUAAACAAAAAGGAGUUUUGUGUUUAAAACAAUAUCUUAUACAAUUAGGAGCCAAGUGAAGUUAAUUACCAUGAGAAUAGUUCAGAGAGGCAAAUUAACUGCAAUAGGAAAAAUGUUGGUCUAGUAUGGUCCUCUAUAUCGUUGCAACUCAAGUGAUAUGUGGAGGGGCUGGCCCGGUGGCACAGCACUUAAGUACACGCGUUCCACUUUGGCGGCCCAGGGUUCACCGGUUCGGAUCCUGGAUGUGGACACAGCACCACUUGGCAUGCCAUGCUGUGGUAGGCAUCCCACAUAUAAAGUAGAGGAAGAUGGGCAUGGAUAUUAGCUCAGGGCCAGUCUUCCUUAGCAAAGAGGAGGAUUAGCAGCAGUUAGCUCAGGGCUAAUGUGCCUAAGAAAAAAAAGAAAAACGAUAUGUGGGAAAAAAUGAUCUCUGUCUAGGGACAGCCACAUUCAUUGACCAAGCUACCUUACUCAAGGGUGUAGACCAGAAGGAAGUGAGGGAGAUAGAUCAGAAAUCUCUUUGAGUAGAGUUUUUGAGGAGGCUAUUCCAGUGCUUGACAAUACAAAUGCCAGGGAUGGUAGGGAGCAUGGAAUAUCCAUUGAAUAGCUUGAUUGUUGGCCCAUUGUCAGAUGGCCUUUGACAGGCACAGAGAGAGAGAGAGCGAGAAUUGAGAAUAACGGCUUCAGCCUGUAACUGUGACGUUUGAAGUUUGAGUCUGCCUGAUCUUCCCUUCCUGACUGCCUGUCCUAUGGAUUUUGGACUUGCUUAGACAGCCCUCAUAACCGAAUAAGCUAAUUCACAUACACACACACACACACAUGCACACAAGCACAUACACCGAAAUGGAAAGGAUUAGUGGGAGGAACAUGUUUGGGAGUGAGAAUCAAGAAUUCUCUUUUGACAUGUUCCAUUUGUGAUGAUUUAGACCUCCAAAUGGAGAGGUCAGGUAGGCACUUAGAUGGCUAAUAAACAUGAGGGCUAGAGACAUAAAUUUGGGAGUCAUGACUACAGAGAUGCUUAUUUUAAACCAUAGAUCUCAUGAAAUUGGAUGGGAUCACCAAAGGAGAGAAUAUAUAGAGAAAAUGAAGGGAACCAAGACUGAGCCCUGGAUGACCCAACAUUUAGAACUGCAACAGAGCAGGGGAAACCGGAAAAGAAGAUGGGAGAGGAGGCAGGAGAGAACCAGAGGAGUGUCCAUCAUAGAAGGUACGAGAAGACUAUUUCAAGAAGGGAGAGGCCAAGUGAGUCUACUGCUGCCCCCUGGUACAUAGUCCUGUAUUUUUAGUUGUGGGUCCCUCCAGCUGCGGCAUGCAGGAUGCUGCCUCAGCAUGGCCCGACAAGCAGUGCCAUGUCCAGGCCCAGGAUUUGAACCGGUGAAACCCCUGGCCACCGAAGCGGAGUGCGCAAACCCAACCCAACCACUCGGCAACACGGCCAGCCCCCAAUUUAAAAUGGGCAAAGGACGAGGCAUUUCUCCAAAGAAGACAGACCACGGCCAAUAAGCACAUGAUAAGAUGCUCGACAUCAUUAGUCAUCAGGGAAAUGCAAAUCAAAACCACAAUGAGAUACCACAUCACACCCACCAGAACGGCUGUGAUCAAAAAGACAGAUAAUGCCAAGUGUUGGUAAGGAUAUGGAGAAAUUCGAACACUUACACAUUGCUGCCAGGAAUGUAAAACAGUGCAAUAGCUUUAGAAAAUGGUCUGGCAGUUCCUCAAAAAGUUAAACAUGGAGCCAUAUGACCCAGCAAUUCUACUCCUGGGUGUAUAGACCCAAGAGACUUGAAGACCUGCAUCUGCACAAAAAGUUGUACGCAAGUGUUCAGAGCAGCAUUAUUAGUAAUAGUCAAAAUGUGGAAACAAUCCAAAUGUCCAUCAGCUGAUGAGUAAAUAGAAUGUGGCACAACCACACAAUGGAAUGUGAUUCAUCAGUAAAAAGAAAUGACGUGCCUAUACAUGCUACUACAUGGAUGAACUUUGAAAACACUAGGCUAAGUGAAAGACCCCAGUUCCAAAUGACCAUAUAUUGUAUCAUUUCAUUCAUAUGAAAUGUCCAAAAUAGGCAAAGCUAUAGAAACAGAAAGUAUAUUAGUGGUUGUCUAGGGCUGGAGGGGGAAGGAUAUUGAGGGGGUGAUGGUUAGAAGUGUGGGGUUUCUUUUAAGGGUAAUGAAAAUGUUCUGAAAUUGAAUAUAGUGAUAGAUACCCAACUCUAAAUAUACUAAAAGCCUUUGGAUUUACACUUAAAAAAAUGACCUUGUGAGUUUUUUGAGGGCCUUACCUGGUUUUCACAACUGCCUACCAUUAGGGCUUCUCCUUUGUUCAAACUUUUGUCAUAUCUCCUUUUAUUCUCCUCCCUGUACAUAGUGACAGCCAAGCUGGACUUCUCAAGGUUUCUCCAACGGGCCUUGCCCUCUUCUUUCUUAUUGUAAUGCCCCACCUGCCCCCUUCUACUUGCCAUACCUAAUCUUCAAAAGCCCAGCUCUGCCCUCUCAAUUCCCUCAUAUUUUUCCUCAGUCUUCUCAAUGCUCAGCUCUGAUAGAAUUUGGGGGAAACCCUGACUCUGCCCAACCUUCUUAUUCCCCAGGUGCCUCCAUUUAAUUGCUUUCAGUCUCUCUUCUUUUUUUUUUCUUUUUGAGGAAGAUUAGCCCUGAGCUAACGUCUGCUGCCAAUCCUCCUCUUUUUGCUGAGGAAGACUGGCCCUGAGCUAACAUCUGUGCCCAUCUUCCUCUACUUUAUAUGUGGGACGCCUACCACAGCAUGGCUUGCCAAGCAGUGCCAUGUCCACACCCAGGAUCCAAACCAGUGAACCCCUGGCCGCCAAAGUGGAAUGUGCGCACUUAACCGCUGCGCCAGCGGGCCGGCCCC